rnacentral:rRNA from 1 species
AUUGAACGCUGGCGGCAGGCCUAACACAUGCAAGUCGAACGGUAACAGGAAGAAGCUUGCUUCUUUGCUGACGAGUGGCGGACGGGUGAGUAAUGUCUGGGAAACUGCCUGAUGGAGGGGGAUAACUACUGGAAACGGUAGCUAAUACCGCAUAACGUCGCAAGACCAAAGAGGGGGAGCUUCUGGCCUCUUGCCAUCGGAUGUGCCCAGAUGGGAUUAGCUAGUAGGUGGGGUAACGGCUCACCUAGGCGACGAUCCCUAGCUGGUCUGAGAGGAUGAUCAGCCACACUGGAACUGAGACACGGUCCAGACUCCUACGGGAGGCAGCAGUGGGGAAUAUUGCACAAUGGGCGCAAGCCUGAUGCAGCCAUGCCGCGUGUAUGAAGAAGGCCUUCGGGUUGUAAAGUACUUUCAGCGGGGAGGAAGGGAGUAAGGUUAAUACCUUUCCUCAUUGACGUUACCCGAAGAAGAAGCACCGGCUAACUCCGUG